UGGGGUGACCAAUUGUCUUGGUUUGCUGAGGAUUAAGGAGAUUCUCAGUCAUGGGACUUUCUGUUUUAAAGCCAGGAAAGUCCCAGGCAAACUAAGACAAGUUGGUCACCCCAUUGUGAU
rnacentral:miRNA from 1 species